rnacentral:tRNA from 1 species
GGUCCGUUGGUCAAGGGGUUAAGAUCAAGGGUUUAAGACCCCGCCUUUUCACGGCGGUAACACGGGUUCGAAUCCCGUACGGACUA